UACGAAGGGGGCUAGCGUUGCUCGGAAUCACUGGGCGUAAAGCGCACGUAGGCGGAUUGUUAAGUCAGGGGUGAAAUCCUGGAGCUCAACUCCAGAACUGCCUUUGAUACUGGCGAUCUCGAGUCCGGGAGAGGUGAGUGGAACUGCGAGUGUAGAGGUGAAAUUCGUAGAUAUUCGCAAAGAACACCAGUGGCGAAGGCGGCUCACUGGCCCGGUACUGACGCUGAGGUGCGAAAACGU
rnacentral:rRNA from 1 species